rnacentral:rRNA from 1 species
AGGGCACCACCAGGAGUGGAGCCUGCGGCUUAAUUUGACUCAACACGGGAAAACUCACCCGGCCCGGACACUGGAAGGAUUGACAGAUUGAGAGCUCUUUCUUGAUUCAGUGGGUGGUGGUGCAUGGCCGUUCUUAGUUGGUGGAGCGAUUUGUCUGGUUAAUUCCGAUAACGAACGAGACUCUAGCCUACUAAAUAGAUCGUCGGCUUACAAACGCCGAUGAGACUUCUUAGAGGGACAGGCGGCGAUUCAGCCGCACGAAACAGAGCAAUAACAGGUCUGUGAUGCCCUUAGAUGUCCGGGGCCGCACGCGCGCUACACUGAAGUGAUCAGCGUGCAUUUUCAGCCUACUCUGCCAAGAGUGGGAAACCCAAUGAACCUUCUUCGUGAUUGGGAUAGGGGAUUGUGAUUAUUCCCCUUGAACGAGGAAUUCCCAGUAAGCGCGAGUCAUAAGCUCGCGUUGAUUACGUCCCUGCCCUUUGUACACACCGCCCGUCGCUACUACCGAUUGAAUGUUUU